rnacentral:rRNA from 1 species
GUGGGGAAUAUUGGACAAUGGGCGAAAGCCUGAUCCAGCCAUGCCGCGUGUGUGAAGAAGGUCUUCGGAUUGUAAAGCACUUUAAGUUGGGAGGAAGGGCUUAAGGCUAAUACCCUUGAGUCUUGACGUUACCGACAGAAUAAGCACCGGCUAACUUCGUGCCAGCAGCCGCGGUAAUACGAAGGGUGCAAGCGUUAAUCGGAAUUACUGGGCGUAAAGCGCGCGUAGGUGGUUUUGUAAGUUGGAGGUGAAAUCCCCGGGCUCAACCUGGGAACUGCCUCCAAAACUGCAUGACUCGAGUACGGUAGAGGGUGGUGGAAUUUCCUGUGUAGCGGUGAAAUGCGUAGAUAUAGGAAGGAACAUCAGUGGCGAAGGCGACCACCUGGACUGAUACUGACACUGAGGUGCGAAAGCGUGGGGAGCAAACAGG